CCUACGGGAGGCAGCAGUGAGGAAUAUUGGUCAAUGGACGCAAGUCUGAACCAGCCAUGCCGCGUGCAGGAAGACGGCUCUAUGAGUUGUAAACUGCUUUUGUACGAGGGUAAACGCAGGUACGCGUAUCUUUCUGUAAGUACCGUACGAAUAAGGAUCGGCUAACUCCGUGCCAGCAGCCGCGGUAAUACGGAGGAUUCAAGCGUUAUCCGGAUUUAGUGGGUUUAAAGGGUGCGUAGGCGGUCGGAUAAGUUAGAGGUGAAAUCCCGAGGCUCAACCUCGGAAUUGCCUCUGAUACUGUGCGGCUAGAGAGUAGUUGCGGUAGGCGGAAUGUAUGGUGUAGCGGUGAAAUGCUUAGAGAUCAUACAGAACACCGAUUGCGAAGGCAGCUUACCAAGCUAUUUCUGACGUUGAGGCACGAAAGCGUGGGGAGCAAACAGGAUUAGAUACCCCAGUAGUC
rnacentral:rRNA from 1 species